CUUUCUUUGCUGGCGACCGGCGCACGGGUGAGUAACACGUAUCCAACCUGCCCUUUACUCGGGGAUAGCCUUUCGAAAGGAAGAUUAAUACCCGAUAGUAUAAUGAUUCCGCAUGGUUUCAUUAUUAAAGGAUUCCGGUAAAGGAUGGGGAUGCGUUCCAUUAGGUUGUUGGUGAGGUAACGGCUCACCAAGCCUUCGAUGGAUAGGGGUUCUGAGAGGAAGGUCCCCCACAUUGGAACUGAGACACGGUCCAA
rnacentral:rRNA from 1 species